AUUCAAAUCUGGUAAAGGAUCUUUCCUUCUAUUGAUUUGAUAGAAAUUCAUUUUUCUUUUCCUGUCUCUAUAAUUUUCGAUGAAUGAGCCAGGUAGACAGUUUCUAUGGAGCGUAGGCCUCCCAAAAGGUAACGGAGGCGUGCAAAGGUUUCCUCGGGCCAGACGGACAUUGGUCCUCGAGUGCAAAGGCAGAAGGGAGCUUGACUGCAAGACUCACCCUUUUAACCAUAGGUAUUCUUUGUGGAGCAGUAUGGGCUAAUGAGGCGUGGGGAUCCUACUGGAAUUGGGAUCCUAAAGAAAC
rnacentral:ncRNA from 1 species